AACCAGGAAAAACUUGAAAUACCACCCCUGUGGUUUCACAUUUUCUCACUUUAGUAUCAUGUAGUUUAAAGUGUAUCAAUUUAGUGUUCUGUGGUUUAAUUUUUAUCUUUUUAUAAUUCAUUUCACUAAUUUUUUUCGUUAAAUCAGUGACAAAGUUAAAACUAAAGGGUACUGAAGUGAAUAUUCGAUAAAUCUAGGUGGGGUAUCUGAAGUUUUUUUGUAUAUAAUUUAACAAAAUAUUAACGGAGAAACUGACGAAAAGAUAAAAAUAAAACCAUAGGGGACUAACUUGAUACACUUUAAACCAAAAGGUACUAAAAUAAAAAAGUGCGAAAUCACAUGGGUGUUAUUUGAAGUUUACUCUAUAAAUCAAUAUUCAAAUCAGAUAUAUAUUAGGCCAAUUUGUAUAAAAAAUCCACUUAUUUUGCGCUUUUGCAAAAUCGGGCCAUCUUUUUGGCUUUUGCAGAUUCGGUCCGCUUUUUCAGCAAACUGACCAAAAUACCCUUAUACCUUUUUCUCUUUCCUCUUUCUCUCUCCUCUUUUUUUUUCUCGUUCUUUUUUCUUUUUCUUCCCAGAGCGGCGAAGACGGAGCGGAGGUGCCCUUAUACCUUUUUCUUUUCUUUUUUUUCUCUCGUUCUUUUUUUUCUCUCUCUUCCCAGAGAGCGGCGAAGACAGAGCGGCGUCGCCGCCGGCGCCCCCACCUUCCUCGCCUCCGAUCCCCCUAAGGC
rnacentral:lncRNA from 1 species